GGCCGCGUGGCCCAAUGGCAAGGCGUCUGACUACGAAUCAGGAGAUCGUGGGUUCGAGCCCCAUCGUGGUCA
rnacentral:tRNA from 1 species